UACGGGGGGGGCAAGCGUUGUUCGGAAUUACUGGGCGUAAAGGGUCUGUAGGUGGCUUGCUAAGUCAGACGUGAAAUCCCUCAGCUUAACUGGGGAACUGCGUCUGAGACUGGCGAGCUUGAGGGCAGGAGAGGAACGCGGAAUUCCAGGUGUAGCGGUGGAAUGCGUAGAUAUCUGGAGGAACACCGGUGGCGAAGGCGGCGUUCUGGACUGCAUCUGACACUGAAAGACGAAAGCCAGGGGAGCAAACGGG
rnacentral:rRNA from 1 species